rnacentral:rRNA from 1 species
GACGAACCGUGCGAACGUUGUUCGGAAUCACUGGGCUUAAAGGGCGCGUAGGCGGGCCGGACGGUCCGCGGUGAAAUCCCCCCGCUCAACGGGGGAACGGCCGCGGAUACCGCCGGCCUCGAGGGGGGUAGGGGCGAGCGGAACGCUGGGUGGAGCGGUGAAAUGCGUUGAUAUCCAGCGGAACUCCGGUGGCGAAGGCGGCUCGCUGGACCCCCACUGACGCUGAGGCGCGAAAGCCAGGGGAGCAAACGGG